GACGAACGCUGGCGGCGUGCUUAACACAUGCAAGUCGAACGGAAAGGCCCUGCUUUUGUGGGGUGCUCGAGUGGCGAACGGGUGAGUAACACGUGAGUAACCUGCCCUUGACUUUGGGAUAACUUCAGGAAACUGGGGCUAAUACCGGAUAGGAGCUCCUGCUGCAUGGUGGGGGUUGGAAAGUUUCGGCGGUUGGGGAUGGACUCGCGGCUUAUCAGCUUGUUGGUGGGGUAGUGGCUUACCAAGGCUUUGACGGGUAGCCGGCCUGAGAGGGUGACCGGCCACAUUGGGACUGGGGAACCGCCCAGGCCCCUACGGGAGGCAGCAGUGGGGAAUAUUGCACAAUUGGCGGAAGCCUUAUGCAGCAACGCCGGGGGCGGGAUGACGGCCUUCGGGGUGGAAACCGCUUUCGCCUGUGACGAAGCGUGAGUGACGGUAAUGGGUUAAGAAGCACCGGCUAACUACGUG
rnacentral:rRNA from 1 species